rnacentral:misc_RNA from 1 species
AAGGAAGCGAAAUCUGCCGGUGAAACGUGUGAAUCUACGAGAAAUUAGCGAUUUCUAAUUAAUUGUUCCUUACUUUCUUGUUAAAAGUUCAUUCUACAUCGUUCCCAGAGGAAGUUGUGAGUGAUCCAGUAUGCCGCAAGCGAGGCGCAAGACCCCGUUCAGCGGGAAAGCGAAGAAACAGCAACUGCAACAGAAAAAACAGAAUAAAACACUCCUUCUGUCGUCGACGGGCGGCACGACAGGCGACUAUGACGUGACGGCAAUGAACUACCAGCCCCGCAGUCGUGGCCGCGGCGACGUCAACAGAUACGCCCUGAAGUUCUACAGGGAGACCGAUGAAGAGCUGAAGUUGAAGAAGGAGGAAGCUCUGAAAGCCCUGAACCCGGUGUCCGAAGAAGCCAUGGAGGUGGACGUGUCGGCGAUGUUCCCUAGCGAGCUCUCCUUCCCCAAACGGCCGCCGUGGGACUUCAGCAUGACCGCCGCGCAGCUGGAUGCGCAGGAGCAUAAGUAUUUUACGGAAUAUGUGCAAGCCCUCCAGUCGUCGCCGCACUGGCAGGACAUGUCGUACUGGGAACUGAACUUGGAGACAUGGCGGCAGCUGUGGCGCGUGCUGGAGAUGUGCGACAUAGCACUGCUGGUGGUCGACGUGAGAUACGCUGGUAUGAUGUUCCCUCCGUCCCUCUACGAGUAUGUGGUUGUAGACCAGAAGAAGGACAUGAUCUUGGUGCUUAACAAGAUAGACCUGGUGCCAGCGGCGGUGGUGGCUGCCUGGAAGCAGUAUCUCACUGACAGAUGUCCCGGGUUGCGGGUGGUGUAUCUCACAUCCUGUCCUGGGUAUAACCUCGCGCACAGUUCCGGAGACCAAGGUCUGGUCGUCCGUCGUCGUAAGGGCAAACAGCGCAUGUGCGUGGAAGGAGCCACCAAGAUAUUGGAAGCUUGCAAGGACAUCGUCAGAGGGGGGGUGGAUCUCUCUUCGUGGGAGAAGAAGAUUAAAGAAGAGAGCCAGGUGGAGUUCGAUGAGGAUGAAGCUACUGAAGUUGGUGAAACGAUCCUCGAGAAAGCAGACACGACAUUCUAUCAGCACGAGAAAUACAAGAACGGCAUUCUUACCAUAGGAUGCGUUGGCCAGCCCAACGUUGGGAAGUCAUCCCUACUGAACGCCAUCAUGGGCAAGAAAGUGGUGUCUGUGUCCAAAACACCAGGACACACGAAGCACUUCCAGACCAUAUUCUUGACGCCACAGGUCCGCCUGUGCGACUGCCCUGGGCUGGUGUUCCCGUCGAAGGUGCCUCGGCCCAUACAGAUCCUCAUGGGGUCGUAUCCUAUCGCUCAGCUACGGGAACCGUAUACCACUAUCAGAUAUAUAGCAGAGCGUAUAAACCUUCCCAAACUCCUGAAGAUAGACCACCCUGAGAACGACGACACCUGGUCUCCGCGAGACAUUUGUGACGGCUGGGCCAAGAAGAGGGGAUACCUCACUGCUAAGGCUGCUAGGUUGGAUACAUACCGAGCUGCGAACAGUCUACUCCGGAUGGCGCUGGAUGGCAAGAUCUGUCUGUGGCUGCGGCCACCAGGCUUCACUGCUAACAGAGUAAAAUUCGAAUCCUGCGCAGAAAUAAAGGACAUCAAAUGGGUGCAAGCUCUAAAAUCGACUAAGGACGACGUCGUCAUCAGUUCAGAUUCUGAUGAAGAAUCCGAUGAAGAAGAAUCUGAUGAAGAUAGUGAAGAAAACGGUGAAGAACUAGCGGCUAUGGCAAAUAAGUUCGCGGCUUUGGUUGGCGAUGACUAGAGUGUAAGCUAGGUGUCCUAUUGUUUUAGCCUUUUCAGGGUGUCUCAUAUCCCUACUUUGAACGCGGUAAGAACCCGUUAUUAUACGUAUUUUAAUUACGAUAAUAACCGCGUAAACUUAAAACAAUAUAGGUUUUUUGUUUAGGGGCCGUCUGCGAGCCUCGAGAGGGGGGUAGGGGUCCAUGAAAAAAUUACGAAAUAUCAUAAGGGCUGAGGGGGGGUGUAGUGUAGUAAUAUAUCACGAGUAUUUAUUUGUUUCGGCAAACGCGAUACUGAACCGGAAAGCGGCGUUUCGUGCAAUUAUAUUUUCGUCAAACGCGUACAAAAAUAUAUUGUCAAAGGAGAAUUUAUGAAGUGGGCGAAUGAUCUUUUACUAAAAAAUACACGUGAUUUGGGGUAGGGGGGUAGUCUUGAACCUCACCAUGUAUCACCAGGGCUUGGUUAAAAAUGAGGAAAAAAAACAUAAUACACACAUAAACUGCCUAUAUACGUCCCACUGCUGGGCACAGGCCUCCCCUCAAUCAACCGGAGGGGGUAUGGAGCAUACUCCACCACGCUGCUCCACUGCGGGUUGGUGGAGGUGUUUUUACGGCUAAUAGCCGGGACCAACGGCUUAACGUGCCCUCCGAAGCACGGAAUCAUCUUACUUUUUCGGACAAUCAGGUGAUUCAAGCCUGAAAAGUCCUUACCAAACAAAGGACAGUCUCACAAAGUGAUUUCGACAAUGUCCCCAUCGGGAAUCGAACCCGGACCUCCAGAUCGUGAGCCUAACGCUCUAACCACUAGACCACGGAG